rnacentral:tRNA from 1 species
GGGGGGACAGCUCAGUAGUACAGCAUGUGCUUGGAGUGCACAAGGUCCUGGGUUCAAUCCCCAGUGCCUUUG